CGCGCCGGAGGAGGGCGGAGCCGGGGCUCCGCCGCUGCCGAGCUCCUUCAGAGCCGCAGGGUACAAGUUGCUGCGUUUGGCAGCACGAAGCGCCUCGCUGCCACGGACGCGGCGUUCGCGCCGCAGAACUGCUGCAUCACUUCAGUUGGCAUUAGGUGAGGAAAGCACUUCCCUCCUCUCCCUUCCACCCCUGGGCUAUCAGAUAGGAAACGGGGUGUAACUGCUGCUGCCGCCGGGCUCGCUGCUUGCUUCCCACCGCUGGAGAAGAGGAAUGACUCCGGAUCAGCCCGUGGUCCGAUUCAACGCAACCUACCACUGUGUCGGUGCUUCAUGAAAAAGUAAUGUCAGAGGAGUUGUAAUGAUGGCUCUGAAGCCAGAAUACGCAGGAGCUGAAGUCCAUGACUUAGGAACUUAAGAGAAGCAGUCAUGUCCAGUCCUACCAGAUCUCGCAGCCCCCCCGGAAGGCAGAGUAUCAAAGGCUGCAUUUUCUCUCAGGGACUACGGUUGCUUCUGGGUCUUGGUCAGUUCUUCAAAGGCCGCGGAGUUUGUGCUUCUGAAGGCCCUUCAGCCAAAAAUACUGAUCAAGUACUGCAAAGGACUUCCUGGAUUUGAAAGGUUCCUGGCAGAGACAAGAUAAUCGUGAAAAUUUCCAACAGUGGAAAAUGUUUCCAUUUUCUUUGGGAACUUGCUUUAGGAUGCUGCUGCGGGUACGGUGAGUUCAUAAGGCUUCUAUGAUCUCGUAGCUUUAAGAAGAAAUGAGAGUAGGGCAGUCUGGGAAUGAAAAAUUUCACACUCCGAAGUUCCAUGGAGUUAUUCUCUUAAAGCAAGUGCUUCAUGGAUGACGUGAGCCACAGCCGGUAGCGCCGGGGGUGGGGAAUGCAGUACUGUUCGCUCAGCAGCAAACCAGGGCUUGGGUUUAGACCACACGCACGUACGCAGAGGGUCUAAGGCAUGAGAACUGUUCAAGAAUUCAGAAAGGAAGUAGUGAAAAAAAUACUACUCGGUAGGUAUCACUUCAGUCUUUAGAGUGCUGUAGUAGAGACGGUUAGCCCAAUCACAUACGUGAUUUCAGUUGCAGGAAAACGUUGCAAGGGAUUUAUGUUUUUGCUCUUGGCAAACUCCGUUCUUUUCCUCCAUUUUGAACCUUAUUCUGAGCCAUCACUACCUUAUUUGUAGCAACCAUGUGAAUUCAAUAUUGACGAAAGAUGUUAAGAUGAAGUCUUUUAUUAGCCAAGAAUAAGAACAAUAUUAUCUUGUUUUACGCUGCCGAAUUUGUGAUGAACUGUUGACUUCUUUGGACUAUUUUGGACAGAAAGCACCCCAGCCUGCUGGCUGGGUUUGCAACGGUUUUUGGUCUCUGCUGUUGUUUCAGCUGCACAAUCAGCAGCCCUGGAAGGAAAAUGAGCACAGAAGGUAUUCCAAGCAGCCACCAGGACUUUAAGGAUCAAACUGUCUGAUCUGGCUCGUGGCUAGUCUUCAUGACGAGGUAGCUGAUCACAAAAGCUUGCCACCGUCAGAGCUGUCCGCGCCAGCACUGCAGCGCUGAGGUGAAAAGCACUGCUAACAAGAGGGACGAACGCUAGGCAACAUCUCAGCUUUUUGGCUAAGUGCUGAAAAGUCUCUCAUUUCUAUAAUAUUUUACUAACGCUGAAGUCACUGUCGUAAUCCUGAAGCACGGCGCACUCAGUGAGUGGAAGGAGAAUAAUUAAACCCUGCGUGGAAGAGAUUUGCUGCCUGGGAACAAAUGGCUUAGGGGGACAAACCCUAAAUGACCAUAAAUGCAGCCAUAAAUGACACCAGCGAAAGUUUUCAGGAAGUCCUCAGGAUUGCAAACUAGAAGUUGGGUGUUGCUCACAAGCAAACUGUAAUUAUUUCAUCUAGUCUCCUGAGAGAAGGAGGAACGUAAACCCUCCGGAUGGAAGUACAUAAGUGAUGCAGGAAAGAAUUCUAGGAAAAUGAGCAAUGAGAACGAGUGGGCAAGAUACACUAGAGAACUGUCCCUGCCCAUUGGAAAUUAGCCGAUUUUCUUGAAUUCCAUCAUGACACAGCCAGAAUCCCAUGGCUUUAAUAAGGGGAAGUUAUCCUGGCAGACUCUCUUCAGUUCUAGAAGACUGGAGAAUUUGGAUACCUAGAUUUUGUUGUCAUUUCAGUAAAUUGCAUUGGAAGGAGAAAAUACGUUAUAUUUACUUUGGAUUUUCAGAGGGAUUCAUUAAUGCACAGGGCUAAGAUCGCUGUUUCAACAUAAAAGGAAUGUUUACAUUUUCUGACCCCGCAGCAGCAAGGGUUGAUUUUAUAAUUAAAUUUGCAUUCAUUUAUU